rnacentral:rRNA from 1 species
GACGAACCGUGCGAACGUUGUUCGGAAUCACUGGGCUUAAAGGGCGCGUAGGCGGGCCGCCAAGUCAGGGGUGAAAUCCUCCCGCUCAACGGGAGAACAGCUUCUGAUACUGGCGGCCUCGAGGGGGUAGGGGCAUGCGGAACUUCCGGUGGAGCGGUGAAAUGCGUAGAUAUCGGAAGGAACGCCGGUGGCGAAAGCGGCGUGCUGGACCCUUCUGACGCUGACGGCGCGAAAGCCAGGGGAGCAAAGCGGG